UUACAGCCAUAUCACGUUGAAACAUCGGUUCUUGUAUGAUCACUAAAGUUAAGUAACAUUGAGCCUGGUCAGUACCUAGAUGGGUGAUAACUGAGGAAUACUAGGUGCUGUAA